rnacentral:rRNA from 1 species
UAUACUAAACGAAAAAUCUUCCUAACGCCAGAUCGAGGUGCAGUUAAUAAGCUGGGGAUAAGUGAGCUACAAUAUUUUACCAAACUAAACAUAAUUAUGGAUAAACUCCAUGAAAAAAAGUCCCAAAUAGGAUUCAGUAGUAAUAUCUAAAAGAAAGAAGAUAUGAACUACAAAAGCUCUAAAAAGCGC